rnacentral:rRNA from 1 species
GUGCCAGCAGCCGCGGUAAGACAGAGGGUGCAAACGUUGCUCGGAAUUACUGGGCGUAAAGCGCGUGUAGGCGGCACCGCACGUCCGAUGUGAAAGCCCAGGGCUCAACCCUGGAAGCGCAUUGGAUACGACGGCGCUGGAGUCUCGAAGAGGAGGGCGGAAUUCCCGGUGUAGAGGUGAAAUUCGUAGAUAUCGGGAGGAACACCAGUGGCGAAGGCGGCCCUCUGGACGAGAACUGACGCUGAGACGCGAAAGCGUGGGUAGCAAACAGGAUUAGAUACCCUGGUAGUCC